CUGGUGGAAGGGUGGAGGAAGCUGUUUGGAAUCUCUUUUAUAAAGUUUACAUGUGGGACGCCUACCACAGCAUGGCUGCCAAGCAGUGCCAUGUCCGCACCCGGGAUCUGAACCAGCGAACCCCAGGCCGCCGAGAAGCGGAAUGUGCGAACUUAACCGCUGCACCACUGGGCCGGCCCCUUAUUUAUUUAUUUUUAAGAAAUUGUGCAGACUAAUUCAAGGAUGGAAAAUGCAUAGCACUUGUGCUACCACUCUACCUGCACAUCCCUGUGGCACAUAUUGACAGUUGAUAGCAAACUCAUUCUCAUUCAGCCUGAACUCAGCCUCCGAUUCCUUCUUAACACAGAAUUCCAGGCAUUCACUAUCAAUCAGUUGUAGUUGUCACAAAGUGGACAUAUUUGAAAUAAAUGCUUUUAGGAAAAAUGUCACAGAAUAAUAUGGUUCUAGAGUUGGUGAAUAAGGAAGAAAUUUUUGUCUCUCUCUGCAAAAUAAAAAUAUCUUUUGGGAAUUGUUCUAAGGUAAUUAGUUGUGUGAAGUCGAUUAUGUUUAUAGUCUUAAAAAGUAUAUUUUCCUAUGCUUUUUUUACCUUAAAAUCCAAAUUAUCAAAGUAGAUUCAUUUCUUUUUUCUUUUUUAAAUUGGCACCUGAGCUAACAACUGUUGCCCAUCUUCUUUUUUUUUUCCCUGCUUUUUUCUCCCCAAAUCCCCCCAGUACAUAGUUGUAUAUUUCAGUUGUGGGUCCUUCUAGUUGUGGGAUGUGGGACACCGCCUCAACAUGGCCUGAUGAGCGGUGCCAUGUCCGCGCCCAGGAUGUGAACCCUGGGCCGCCAAAGCAGAGCAUGCGAACUUAACCACUCGGCCACGGGGCCGGCCCCUAGAUUCAUUUCUCAUAUAAAAAUUUAUUUCUAUCAUGUAGCUCAGUGGCUA
rnacentral:lncRNA from 1 species